CCUACGGGAGGCAGCAGUGAGGAAUAUUGGUCAAUGGGCGGGAGCCUGAACCAGCCAAGUCGCGUGAGGGAAGACGGUCCUAUGGUUUGUAAACCUCUUUAGGCUGGGUGCAAUGCCGGGCACGCGUGCCCGGAGGGAGAGUACCCGCAGAAUAAGCAUCGGCUAACUCCGUGCCAGCAGCCGCGGUAAUACGGAGGAUGCGAGCGUUAUCCGGAUUUAUUGGGGUUAAAGGGUGCGUAGGCGGAUAUUUCAGUCAGCGGUAAAAUGUCCGGGCUCAACCCGGGCCGGCCGUUGAAACGGGGGAUCUUGAGUGGGGGAGGAGUAUGCGGAAUGCGUGGUGUAGCGGUGAAAUGCAUAGAUAUCACGCAGAACUCCGAGUGCGAAGGCAGCAUACCGGCGCCCGACUGACGCUGAGGCACGAAAGCGUGGGGAGCGAACAGGAUUAGAUACCCGGGUAGUC
rnacentral:rRNA from 1 species